GGGGAGAGGAGACCCUGUUUCCCUAUCCUGGAUGUUUCUUUCCACCUGACCGGAGGGAUUCAGCAGGACAUCUCUGCCCUCUCUCUGCCCCACCUCACUCUGGCCCUGAGGAAAUCAAGGUCCUUUUUUGAUGGGCAAUAAAUCACAGGCACUUAGAAAAAUCACAGCAUUUUCAGGCUCUGGAGAUGAACAAAACCCAGCCCGGAGAAGUGUGGGGAGCCACAAAGGUCAGCUCAGGGUGAGGCCCGGCAUCCUGAUUCCCAGCCCACAUCAUCUCCUAUAUGAUGAAGAGACCGAGACCUUGAGAAGUUAAGUAACUGCCCCAUGUUUCACAGUGGGCAAGAGGGAAAGAAAAGUCAAGAUAAACCCAGGCUCACCAGAUUCUAGAACCCAUUGUUUUGUCACCCAUACAAACGACACCUCCAUUUAUAAAAAAAGUAUUGUUCCAAGUUCCAUUUCCAGCAAGGAUAUCUACAGAUCCAAGGACAAAGUAAGUGGGGCUGAGAUGAUCUGUGCCCUAUAAGUCUUUUAGGCUCCUCCAUGGUUUGGGACAAAGUAACUCUGCCACCAAAUUCCCUGAAGACAAGUAGAGCUCAGGGCCUCGGGAUAAUCAGACGAUGCUGAGCUAGGAAGUGGUUCAGAACUGCGUGAAAUUUGGGAGUGAGAUACAACUUGUCUGUUGUUGCAUUUUAAAAUAUUCACAAGGCAAGGAAGCAUUCAUUUCCAUUUGCAAUAAUGAAAUGGCUAACAUCUGCAACCUGCUAUAUUUACUGAUCGUGAACGAUGCAUUCCUAGGAGGACCUCAGUCUGAAUCAGUGGCCCCACGAGCUGUCAUGUUACAGCACAAAACCAAACAGAUGAGACAGAAAUGUUGCUGUUGCCUAGAGAAAAAAUUUUCCCCACCACUUGUUCUGCUGUAGAGGAUGGCUCAAAUUAAGAAUGCAUCUAGGACUUGGCCUGCAAACCAGCUGGAAGAGGAGGAAGACAGAAAAAAUCUGCAACAUUUUCCCCUUGUUGGAAGAACCAUUUCAAACAGGGUGGACUGUGCCUUAAGAGUUGGAUUUUUAGGGGUCCCUGUGUGGCUCAGCAGUUGGGCGUCUGCCUUCGGCUCAGGGCAUGGUCCUGGACUCCCAGAACUGAGUUCCACAUUGGGCUCCCUCCGUGGAGCCUGCUUCUCCCCAUGCCUGUGUCUCUGCCUCUCCCUCUCUGUAUCUCAUG